AGUGAACGCUGGCGGUAGGCCUAACACAUGCAAGUCGAACGGCAGCACAGUAAGAGCUUGCUCUUACGGGUGGCGAGUGGCGGACGGGUGAGGAAUACAUCGGAAUCUACUUUUUCGUGGGGGAUAACGUAGGGAAACUUACGUUAAUACCGCAUACGACCUACGGGUGAAAGCAGGGGAUCUUCGGACCUUGCACGAUUGAAUGAGCCGAUGUCGGAUUAGCUAGUUGGCGGGGUAAAGGCCCACCAAGGCGACGAUCCGUAGCUGGUCUGAGAGGAUGAUCAGCCACACUGGAACUGAGACACGGUCCAGACUCCUACGGGAGGCAGCAGUGGGGAAUAUUGGACAAUGGGCGCAAGCCUGAUCCAGCCAUACCGCGUGGGUGAAGAAGGCCUUCGGGUUGUAAAGCCCUUUUGUUGGGAAAGAAAAGCAGCAGGUUAAUACCCCGCUGUUCUGACGGUACCCAAAGAAUAAGCACCGGCUAACUUCGUG
rnacentral:rRNA from 1 species